UACGGAAGGGGCAAGCGUUGUUCGGAAUCAUUGGGCGUAAAGGGCGCGUAGGCGGCAAUUCAAGUCAGCUGUGAAAUCUCCGGGCUUAACUCGGAACGGUCAGCUGAUACUGCUUUGCUAGAGUGCGGAAGGGGCAAUCGGAAUUCUCGGUGUAGCGGUGAAAUGCGUAGAUAUCGAGAGGAACACCUGAGGUGAAGACGGGUUGCUGGGCCGACACUGACGCUGACAGCGCGAAAGCCAGGGGAGCAAACGGG
rnacentral:rRNA from 1 species